AGGCCAGCGUUUUUCCCAGAAUAAGUGUACGUCUUCGUUGCGCUGGGUACUUUUGCAUUCGCCCCCCUGGUCCACGCCUCGAGCAUCACUCCAGCGCAACUGAAUCACCACACGCAAACUCCCCAAUCCUCUUCCUCUCCCCCAACGAUCCUCUCCUCCGAUCCAAUCCCAAAUCACCGUCGGUCCAACCUCCAAUCCAGGGCCUCCCCCUCUCACCCCAAAUCGAUGGCAUCCCGUCCAUAUAAACAGCCGGCGAGGUGGCGUCCAUCGCACUGGAGCCAUGGCAGGCGGAGCAGAGGGCGGAGGAGCGAAAUCCGGCGAUGGCAAGCUAGUCAAGGCCAUCGCGACGGCCGGCGGCGCAGCACGCGACCGCAGCGGAUCUGGUUCUGGGGGCCCCGUCCGUGCGCGUCCAGGCAGGUUCCGACCGUGGUCGCCCUCGCCCUCGUACGUCAGUCGGCGGCGUCGGUUCGGUGUCGGAGCCAAGAUUGUCGACCCGGAUGAGGAUGCAGUGGGUGAUGGUGAAGCCGGUGUUGUGGCUAACCAGGACGGCGCGGCGGCAGGUGCUGGGCAAGAUGGCACGGCAGCAGGAGUGCGUCCUGGUGCUGACCAGGAUACCACGGCUGCAGGUGCUGGGCAUGUCGCCGAAAAGACCAGCAAGUAGUACUAGCUCUGUAAGUUUGGCUUGAUGCAAAUCUUGGCUUUUAGUUACUGGCGUUCAACUUAAUACAAGUCCUAGUGGUGAUGUAGAGGGAGAUCUAAGUAUGGCUGUGUAUCCUGAAAAUUUUAAGUAUGAACAAUCUGUAGUGGUUAAAUGACAGACAUGACUAUGAUGAUCUGUUGCAUAAAUAAGGUGUUUUCUUGAUGAAUGAGUCCUGGUCUCUGAAGUGGUGACUAUACUUUCUGUACAGAUUUGGCAUGAAAAGAUUUGGCAUGAAAAUUACUUUGACUAUUGAACAGAUUUGGCAUGAAAAAUUACUUUGACUAUUGAAGCAAGAACUAUUACAACUUCUAGUCGGCUAUGAUCUGCAUGGCGCUCUCAUAGAGUUCGCGAUCCCACCCUAAAACAUCAGGUAGAUUUCCUGUACGCUCUAGGCCAUCCUUGUACAUGUGAGGGAUCUUGUAGUCAUUGCCUCCACCUAUCUUCAUUACCUCAAUUAAGCAACUCUGUAGUGUAAGGAAAAUCCUGUUUAUCUUAUCGGCAUCAUAAGCAUGAUAUUCGUGCUGCACAUUGUUGAUUAGCUCAUCUAAAUUAUUAGAGACUAGCCUAUCUGACAUGGAUUGUAGUGAAGAAAAUAGGCCAAGGUCUAGAGCGUUCAUAUCCGGUGAGUUCGCAGGCUGUUGCAUGAGGCGAAUAUCAAGCCCAGUUUGGGCAACGACACUAAGAAAACCUGGGUCAUUACUUGGGACAUGUGAUCAACGUCCCUCUUGGACGAUUAUCACUUUUCCUUGGCGCUGGCUCCUACAACCAACAACGCAACUCAAGUUAGAUUAAGUAUGGAUGUGUCUAAUAAAUAAAAGAGUAAAGGUUGAAAUUCACCUUUUUGAUAAACGGCCAAAUGCCUAUCUUUCCAUCAAAAAUGCAAAUACCUUCUGCAUUAUAUCUAGGCCUGCCUAUUACAACCAAAAACAUUAUUUUUCCAAUGGAGUUUUUAUUUUGCACAGUCCUAUGUGGGUUUUCUUCUGAUGGCAUCUUGUAGAAUUUCAUGGUCUUUUGGGUGGUGUUAAACCACUUUUCAUCUAAAUGUAAUAUGUUACGCAUGUCCUUGAAUGUGGGCUUAUUUGGCAAACUUUGCGUGUCAAACAUAGAGAGACAAUGCCGCAGCCUAGCCUUCAUGUUUGCUUCCUUCAAAUAUGGCUUGAGUGAGCUGGAAUGCCUAUCUAGCAAGCCUUCCGUAAACAUCCUAUGUAAUGUGCUUUUCUUCACACCCAAAGCCCUUGCAAGACUACGUAUAGUUCUCCUUUGACUCCGAGGAAUCUCUGGAACCCUACCAAGGUCAACUACAAUCCUUUUGCGACCACAAUUUUUGGGCUUCCUUGAUCGUACAUCAACGGGUAUGCCUUGUCGAAGACACUCCUUCACCCUCCUCCAAACGCGUCUGACCUUGUAUACUGAAACUUGGAACAUGUUUGCAACUUCUCUGGUUGUGGUCUUCUUUAAUCUCCGGUCGACACUUCUUGCUAGCAAUUCUUCAUAAAUACCAGUCCUUUGCAAAUCUGUUAAAUUCUUGUGUUUGUCUUCAUUAUGAACUUGUUCAUUAUCUUCUUGCUCCACAUCCAUGUCUUCAUCUGGUGCUGAAUCGUACAUGGCUUCAUGCGGUUCUGAAUCAUCAAGCUCUUCUUCGUCAAACUGAAUCUCUAUAUCUCCGGCAUACACACCAUAGUCCUCCGGGUCAACAUGAAGGUUAUCUAGAGCUUCAUCCAUUGCUUGCACUUCCUCUUCCAUGCUCUGGAAAAAACCACCGUGGUCUUCAAGUUCAUCGUCUACAAGGUCCUCUUCUCCAUGGGCAACAUCGGCCUCAUGUUCCUCUUCUUCAUGGGAAAUGUCGGCCUCAUGUUCUACAUGAAGACACCAUCAGGAUUAGCUACAGUAUGCAGAAGAAUUGAACAUGUGCAUAUGGUCAAGAUGUACCAUGGUUCAUGUUCAGAUCGAAGUGAUGUCCAGCCAGUGGUACUUCUUCAUGCAAGGGAGGCUCAUGUUCAUCUUCUCCAGCGAAUUGAUGGCCGGCCUGGAGUACUUCUUCAUGCAAGUGAGGCUCAAAACCAACCUGGGGUUCUUUAAGCAAGGCAGCCUCAUGUUCGUCCUCUACGGUGAAGAAGAAACAUCAGCAUGUGCACAUGUUCAAGGGGAACAAAUGAAAAGAUGAUCAAGAUGUACCCGGGUUCAUGUUCAGAUCGAAGUGAUGACCAAACUGGAGCACUUCCUCAUGCAAGGGAGGCUCAUGUUCAUCUUCUCCCUCUCCUGGUGCUAUAUUCAAGUCAAUGGCCAUGGUCUGUGUGUGUGUUGUUUUACUUGGUGCAACUGUGCUGGCUUUAUAGCUGGGCACAGGCGCUUCAUCUACUGAAAUUGUAAACUUGGCGCCUCUAAUUUCUGUAAUCUGGCGCCUCUAAUUUUUAGUACUAGUUGUUGCUGGCGGGAAGUACUGUGGCGGGAGCAAAAUUCUAUUGGUAAAGUUCUGUUUUACUUCUCCCUUCUCA